CUUUUUUCCUACUCUGACCUUCUUUUUCUCUCCUCCUGUUUUGUUUCACUUCUGGUCAACCAACCAAGCAAUUGAGUUUCUGAGUUUCUGAUUGUCUGCUUCUUUGACAACUCCAAACAGUAGCCAAACCUUCACCUAAACAACCAUGCCGGGUCCGGGCCCCCACAUGAUGUACACACUUGGAGCGGGUCAAGCCCUGAUGAGCAUAUCCAACGGGCGCUUCAGCCCGCAUCACUGCCUCGUGUAUGCAAUCAAUGCUUUCUUCGGGCCGGAUAUGGGCUCCUUCUCGGAGUGGCUCACCUCCACCCUCGGGCUGGGACGGGCCGUGGGCUCUGCUGCAGAAUCAUUCAUCCAUCACCCCAUUUACUACACGCUCCUUCUGGGGUUCCCUUUAUCAGUCUUGUACAGCUGGAUUUCCAGAAUUCUUCUCCGUAGGGGUCUUCUUGAUUCCAUUUCUGGGGUCAUAAUGUAAUGAAGACAAGUCCAACUCUAGACCGAUCAUGUGGGGGGCAAUGACGUAAACAGGUACAACAGGUACCUCUUACAAGAUGGCAGUGCUUCUACUUGGUGUCAGCAGGUUCUUUGUCCCAUUUUUUCUUAGACCACUUGUUUGAGGAAAACGGGCAGUCUAAAAUGUAUACUUGGAUACUGAGCACAGGUUGGUGGAAAGGCAGAGCACCAAUCACCCCAGAUGCAGUUGUUGUGAUUAGCUUCCUUUGUAUUUGCUUGAUUGGAGGUUUUAUAUAUAUUAACAGAGUGAAGUCCUCGAGAUCUCUAAAAACCAGGUCUAAUCUGUCUGCAAGAUUAAUCUUGACAAUAGCAGUCCUGUACUCAUUAUGGUGUGCUAGCCAGAUAUACUUGGUAAGUCCUCGUCGACCAGCAGUCGGUGAAGAGGCUGAUCUCGGUGUAAUUGUGUUUCUGAGCAUUUACUUUUUCCUGCCCCAUUGUCUGUGUUUUAUGUCUAUGAACACUAGAGAUUUUGCUGAAACAUCAGAACAGCUUCCGCUUUGAUUGGCAAUCACUAUGGUUUAGCUUGUUAAUGGCAUAUGACCUUCAUCUGAAGGGCCUCUUCUGUUGAAAA